UACAGAGACUGCAAGCGUUAUUCGGAUUCACUGGGCGUAAAGGGUGCGUAGGUGGCUUGGUAAGUUUGAUGUGAAAUCUCCGGGCUUAACCCGGAAAUGGCAUUGAAUACUAUUGAGCUGGAGGUUUGGAGGGGGGACUGGAAUUCUCGGUGUAGCAGUGAAAUGCGUAGAUAUCGAGAGGAACACCAGUGGCGAAGGCGAGUCCCUGGACAACACCUGACACUGAGGCACGAAAGCUAGGGGAGCAAACAGG
rnacentral:rRNA from 1 species